GAUAAAAGUCUAAUGCUACACGGGGAUAGAAGAAAUCCCUGGGAGUCAUCAGGUGCUCCAUAUAGUACCUCUGCAGCAAAUGAAAGGAAUCUCUAAGCUCUGGCUAAAGCCUGAAGGUAGCUCUAUCAAAGCAAAGCUUUGAGUGGAAUGACCUAGCUCGACAAUCCAAGUUACCCUCAAUGGGUGGCUGAGUGACCAUGGGCCGCCUGAUAAUCACCUCCGGAGUCAUCCCAGAGGGAAUCUAAGACUCUGUGGCAGGUAGCUGAGGAUCUGAUGGCUCAACUGGAGAUGAUAUCCUUGCCUUCUUCUUAGGAGAACGGCUACCUGACUUUUUGGCACGAGAGGAGAUUACCCCGGGUGUGGUGGGUGGUCUCCUCGUCUCAUAUCGCCUCGAAUGAGAACUCAGAGGCGGUUCUCUAUUGAAGGUGGGACGACCAGUGGCUGUGAAGGCUCAGUCAUGGAGCCUUGUACAGGGGCCACUCUCGGUCCUCUGGGGCGGCCUGAAGGAGAUGAGGUUUUAGCUCCUCGGGUUUUUGCCAUGGAUGAUUCAGAGAGGUUUGAGAGAAGGUGGCCGGAGGUGCGCGUGCGGCUUGGGCUCAGAUGGAGGUCCUCUGAAAAUGGUGCUCUGGCUUGGCUCUAUUUCGCACCAAAUGGAGGUUUUCGCAAGGCAAAUGAUCGGUUUAAAGUGAAAAAUGGAAUUUAAAAAGUUUAAAUUAGAAGCCAAGUGACGGUUGGAAUUUUUCGUAGAGGAGGGGGCAUUUUGCAGCGAAGUCCCAUUUUCCCAGCCAAUGGCCAUUUUCGCAGCUGCGAAAUGAGGGGGUGGGGCUUCGAAAUGGCACUCGUGUGCCAAAGGGGGGUUUCACAGGGGUUUUCGAAGCUGUGAAAUGGGGCUUGGGCUGGGAAAUGGAGGUUUGGGAGCCUUGGGUGAUUUUGUAGAGGAUUUCGCAGAUGCGAAAUGGAGGUUUCGCAGAUGCGAAAUGGAGGCAUGGGCUGCAAAAUGGCACUCGUGUGCCAAAGGUGGGUUUCAUAGCUACGAAAAUUUUCGCAGGGGAUGGCUAUGAGGCUGCGAAAUAGUUUCGUAGAUGAGGGCCCAUUUCGCAGCAAACCCUUGAUUUCGCAGUGGGCACCUUGUGGUUGCGAAAUUAUUUCAUAAAGGAUGGCCAUUUUCGCAGGGGACUAUUUUGGGCUGCGAAAUUUCGAAGACCACUGAAAUUUCUUGCUUCUGAGCUCCUUUUGGCUCCUUGAGACCUUCCUUCACCUCUUUUGCAAUUCCUCCUAAAUUAGAUCAUUCAAAAAGUUUAAGUUACAUAAAAAUAACAUAAAUUAAGACCAAAAUUAAAAUCAAAACAAUUAAUAAAGCUCUUAAACUAGCAAAAUUAAACAAAAAAUAUGGACUUUGGUGAGACCAAGUCCAUCUAACCCCUUUCUAAUUAGGAUUUAUGUGGCUCAAGGAGGUUGAUUUCCUCCUUAUUUUGCUUGAAUGGCUCAAUGAAUGGUUUGAGAUGAUGGCCAUUGACUUUAAAGGUGUCAGUGCUGUUGGAAUUUAGCAAUUCCACCACUCCAUUGAGAUGCACUUGGUGAAUAAUGAAAGGGCCUAUCCACCUUGACUUCAGUUUCCCAGGAAAGAUAUGGAGCCUUGAGUCAUAGAGUAAGACUCUUUGUCCUUUUCGGAAUUCUUUGUUGGAGAUUAACUGAUCAUGCCAUCUCUUCAUCCUCUGUUUUACAACUUUGGAAUUGAUGUAGGCAUCAUUUCUUAAUUCCUCCAUCUCAUUAAGGUCUAAGCACCUCUUUGCCCUGGCUCUGAUCAAGUCCAUGUUAAUCUUCUUGAUUGCCCACCAAGCCUUAUAUUCAACUUCCACGGGGAGAUGGCAUGCUUUGCCAUAGACUAGGCUAUAUGGAAACAUGCCAAGAAUAGUCUUAUAAGUUGUUCUAUAUGCCCAUAGUGAAUCAUGGAGCUUAAUAGACCAAUCUCUUCUACUCAUGUUCACCACCUUCAUCAAUAUAUUCUUGAUUUCCCUGUUUGCUAGCUCAACUUGCCCGGAAGUCUGAGGGUGAUAAGGUGUAGCUACCUUAUGCUUCACCCCAUACUUGGCUAAUAGGGUUUCAAAAGGUUUGUUGCAAAAAUGAGUACCUCCAUCACUGAUUAUGGCCUUGGGCACCCCAAAUCUUGAGAAGAUGUUCUCUUUGAGAAACUUGAGAACCACCCUGUGAUCAUUGUGUUUACAGGGGAUUGCCUCAACCCAUUUAGAAACAUAGUCCACCCCCACCAAGAUAUAAGAGUUGCCAAAAGACAUUGGGAAAGGUCCCAUGAAGUCAAUGUCCCAAACAUCAAAGAGAUCAACUAUUAGAAUGGGGUUCAUAGGCAUCUGAUUUGUUCGUGUAAGCUUCCCGAGCCUUUGGCAUCUAUCACAACUCCUACACAUGGUGUGGGCAUCUUUGAAAAGUGAUGACCUACUAAACCAUGAUUGCAACACCUUCAUGGCUGUUUUCUGGGAAGCAAAGUGGCCUCCACAUGCACUCUCAUGGCAAUGACUGAGGAUUCCUUAUUGAUCUUCUUCAGGGACACACUUCCUUAUUAUUUUAUCUGCACAAUACUUGAAAAGGAAAGGUUCUUCCUAAUAAUAAGCAUGAAUCUUUGCAAAGAAGUGUUUCCUGUCUUGUGCUUUCCACUCUCUUGGAACUUCACCAGUAACUAGAUAGUUAGCAAUAUGAGCAUACCAAGGAGUUUUUUCUAGCAACAUAAGUGAUUCCUCUGGAAAGUCAUCAUUAAUAGGUAAGAUAUGGGAAUUGUGUGCUAUAGCCAACCUUGAUAUUUCUGGAUAGAAUAUACAAACCCAUCUUUUUUCUUUUGAUAUUUCUGGAUUGAUAAAACUCAUUUUUGAAAAUUGGAAGGAGAAAAACAAAAAAUUGAAAAUUCCGAAUUAUGCAGAGGAAAAGACAAGGGAGAAAAGACAGAAGGCCAAAAGAGAGGAAAAAACACGGAUAAAAAUAACCGAAGUAUGGGAUACCGUCCUAUUUGCUCAAGUAAUAAGAGGUUGCUUGUUAUUAACCCAAUCAAUUUUUCGAAAAUAUAUUAUAUUACCUUCAUUGAUAAUAGCUAAAAAAAUCGGUCGUAUGCUAUUAUUUCAAUCUCCCGAGUGGUCCGAAGAUUUAAAGGAUUGGAAUCGAGAAAUGCAUGUUAAAUGCACCUAUAAUGGUGUUCAAUUAUCAGAAACAGAAUUUCCGCAAAACUAGUUAAAAGACGGUAUUCAAAUAAAGAUCCUAUUUCCUUUCUGUCUGAAACUUUGGCACAAACCUCAAGAAAGGUCCCUUGAUAAAGAUUCAAUGAAAGAUAAAGUAAAAAAAUUUUUGUUUUUUAACAGUUUGGGGAAUGGAAACUGAUCUGCCUUUUGGUUCUCCCCGAAAACGACCUUUCUUUUUAAACCCAUUUUGAAAGAACUUGAAAAAAGAAUUCGAAAAUUUAAAAACAAGUGUUUUCUAGUUCUAACAGUUUUAAAAGAACGAACAAAAUUGUUUAUAUUUUUAAGGGUCUCAAAAGAAACAAAAAAAUGGGUUAUCAAAAGUGUUCUAUUUAUAAAUAUAAAAAAAAAAAUAAAAGAACUCUUAAAAAUAAAUCCAACUCUAUUAUUUGGAUUGAGAGAAGUAUAUGAAUCUAGUGAAACUCAAAAACAAAAGGAUUCGAUAAUCAAUAAUCAGAUGAUUCACAAAUCGUCUAUUCAAAUUCGAUCUAUGAAUUGGACAAAUUAUUCACUGACAGAAAAAAAAGUGAAAGAUCUGACUGAUAGAACAAACACAAUUACAAAAAAAAUAGAAAAAAUUAUAAAAGACAAGAAAAAACUCUUUCUAACUCCAGAGAUAAAUAUUAGCCCUAACAAAGCUAGUUAUAAUGCUAAAAGAUUAGAAUCACAAAAAAGCAUUUGGCAAAUAUUAAAAAGAAGGAAUUCUCGAUUAAUUCGCAAAUUACAUUAUUUUAUAAAAUUUUUCAUUGAAAGGAUAUACAUAGAUAUUCUUCUAUGUCUCAUUAAUAUUCCCAGAACCAAUGCACAAAUUUUUAUUGAAUCAACAAAAAAAAUUAUUGAUAAAUACGUUUACAAUAAUGAAAGAAAUCAAAAAAGAAUUGGUAAACCAAAUCAAAAGAAAAUUCACUUUCUUUCGAUUAUAAAAAGGUCAGUUUCUAGUAUUAGUAAUAAGAGUUCACAGAUUUUUUGUGACUUAUCCUCCUUGUCACAAGCGUAUGUAUUUUACAAAUUAUCACAAACCCAAGUUAUUAACUUGUAUAAGUUAAGAUCUGUCCUUCAAUAUAAUGGAACAUCUCUUUUUCUUAAGAACGAAAGAAAAGAUUAUUUUGGUUUUGGAGCACACGAAAUAUUUCAUUACGAAUUAAGACAUAAGAAACUUCAUAAUUCUGGAAUGAAUCAAUGGAAGAACUGGUUAAGAGGUCAUUAUCAAUAUAAAUAUUUAUCUCCGAGUAUAUGGUCUAGAUUAGUACCACAAAAGUGGCGAAAUAGAGUAAAUCAACAUUGUGUGGCUCAAAAUCAAAAUAAAGAUUUAAGCAAAUGGGAUUUAUCUCAAAAAGAUCAAUUAAUUCAUUAGAACAAACAAAAUGAUUAUGAAGCAGACUCAUUAACGAAUCAAAAAGAAAAUUUUAAAAAACACUAUAAAUAUGACUUUUUAUCAUAUAAAUAUAUUAAUUAUGAAGAUAAGAAUGACUCAUAUAUUUAUGGAUCACCAUUACAAGUAAAUAAUAACCAAGAUAUUUCUUAUAAUUACAACACACAUAAACGCAAAUUUUUUGAUAUGCUGGAAGGUAUCCCUAUCAAUAAUUACCUAGGCGAAGAUGAUAUUAUGUAUAUAGAGUAUAUAAAGAAAAACCCGGAUAGAAAAUAUUUUGAUUGGAAAAUUCUCCAUUUUUGCUUUAGAAAGAAGGUCGAUAUUGAGGUCUGGAUCAAUACCAGUAUCAACAGUAAUAAAAAUACCAAGACCGGGUCGAAUAAUUAUCAAAUAAUUGAUAAGAAAGGUCUUUUUUAUCUCACACAAGAUCAAGAAAUCAAACCAUCCAACCAAAAAGACCUUUUUGAUUGGAUGGGGAUGAAUGAAGAAAUACUAAAUCGUUCCAUAUCGAAUUUGGAACCUUGGUUCUUCCUAGAAUUUGUGCUACUUUAUAAUACAUAUAAAAUGAAACCUGGGUUAUACCAAUCAAAUUACUUCUUUUAAAUUUUAAUGGAAAUAAAAAUUAUAGUAAAAAUAGAAAUAGCAAUAGAAAGCAAAAAGGAAAUCUUUUUAUAUCAUCCAAUGAAAAAAAACUUUUAAAAUUAGAGAAUCGAAAUCAAGAAGAAAAAGAAUCCGCAGGACAAGUAGAUCUUGGAUCAGAUGUACAAAACCAAGGAAAUCUUGAAUCAGUCCUCUCAAACCACGAAAAAGAUAUUGAAGAAGAUUAUGCAGGAUCAGACUCAGACAUGCAAAAACGUACAAAGAAAAAGCAAUUCAAGAAUCACACGGAAGCAGAACUCCAUU
rnacentral:lncRNA from 1 species